UCCCACGUGAUCUAGUGGCUAAGAUAUCUGGCUUUCACCCAGAAGGCCCAGGUUCGAUUCCCGGCAUGGAAU
rnacentral:tRNA from 1 species